rnacentral:lncRNA from 1 species
UAACGGAAAACUCAUAGACUGAUCUGUACUCGAAAAGGGAAAAGAACUUGACGACACUCACGCAUUAUAUUAUCAGCAAAAGACGACCUGAAAACCGACCAAUAUGAGGAUAUAUGCGCUCAUUCUCCUGCUCUCCCUGCUCCUGGGGGCGGUCCUGGAGGUGAACACCCAGAUAGUCACCCGUCGGAGGAACUUCCCAGGGGAGAGAAGGCUGGGGAGCAUAAACUAUGGACAGUACAGGUUCGGGAAGAGAGGAUACCAGAAGAAGCAGCAUCCGAAUCGAGCUAAACCCCCGAGGAGAAUUGUCGGAUAAAAAUCUUCCCACAGCUUCAAAAAUCGUCUCCUGCGCUGCACCACCUAAGACCCUACCCAGCUGACAGCCAGGAACCUUGAAGAUGGCUUGAAGGAUAACACCGAUAGUGAUUGAAGAAGGAUAUCAUUUUAAAGAUGGUUUGGAAGAUUGCUCAUGGUGACCUGAGAGAUAACUUGAUGGUGACCCGAAUGAUAACCUGAUGGUAACUUGAAGGGAAAUUCCUUGACAAUGGCUAGCUUGUGUUAUUUUGCUUGCGACAUCUUCAGAUCUAGAAACCCAAGGGAUAACUUUGAUCAGUGUCUGUAGUCUCAAAUGUAGCGACCUUUGAAUGACGAUUAGCCAUUGCAAAAUAAAUGCAUGAUAGAUACCCUACCGCAGAAUCGCCAAACUAACAUUGGUGAGAAGCUAUAACCAGCUCUGAUUAAUAAUUGAUGGUUAGUCUUAAAUUAGUGCUCUAAUGUGUAAUGAAAUUGGAGGAACCUUCAGUAUGAUAUAUAUCUAUAAUGCUGUUAAUGUUUUAUUCUGUUAUAUUCAGAUAUAUUUAUACUGUUGAGAAAUUGUUGUCGUUAUAUAAUCCUGUUACAUAUAUAUUUUGCUUGUUUAUUGGUUUGUUCACACAAGUUAUUAAAGUGUUAUGUUCUCUGUUAAUUGUUGGGAAAUUAUCAUUAUGUAUGCCUUUUAUAAUAAAAUAACAUUUCUUGACUUGUAUUUGAAUGGCGUGAAAUAGAAACUUUACAUUUUAUAUUUACCUACACUAUCACUACCAUGCAUAACAUAGUACCAUAACCAUUACCAUUACAAUACCCGUUACCAUUUCCAAAUUUCGCCAGUGUUACCAUUCUUCACGCAACGAGACUACAGCAAGAUUAGCAUCCUUAAUAC